AGCGAACGCUGGCGGCAGGCUUAACACAUGCAAGUCGAGCGCCGUAGCAAUACGGAGCGGCAGACGGGUGAGUAACGCGUGGGAACGUGCCUUCUGGUUCGGAAUAACUCAGGGAAACUUGAGCUAAUACCGGAUAAGCCCUUCGGGGGAAAGAUUUAUCGCCGGAAGAUCGGCCCGCGUAAGAUUAGCUUGUUGGUGAGGUAAUGGCUCACCAAGGCUACGAUCUUUAGCUGGUCNGAGAGGAUGAUCAGCCACACUGGGACUGAGACACGGCCCAGACUCCUACGGGAGGCAGCAGUGGGGAAUAUUGGACAAUGGGCGCAAGCCUGAUCCAGCGAUGCCGCGUGUGUGAAGAAGGCCUGCGGGUUGUAAAGCACUUUCAGUAGGGAAGAAAGCCGAGUGCUAAUAUCACUCGGUCUUGACGUUACUUACAGAAGAAGCACCGGCUAACUCCGUGCCAGCAGCCGCUGU
rnacentral:rRNA from 1 species